rnacentral:rRNA from 1 species
AGUGAACGCUGGCGGCAGGCCUAACACAUGCAAGUCGAACGGCAGCACAGGAGAGCUUGCUCUCUGGGUGGCGAGUGGCGGACGGGUGAGGAAUAUAUCGGAAUCUACCCUUUCGUGGGGGAUAACGUAGGGAAACUUACGCUAAUACCGCAUACGAACUGAGGUUGAAAGCGGCGGACCGCAAGGCGUCGCGCGGAUGGAUGAGCCGAUAUCCGAUUAGCUAGUUGGCGGGGUAAAGGCCCACCAAGGCGACGAUCGGUAGCUGGUCUGAGAGGAUGAUCAGCCACACUGGAACUGAGACACGGUCCAGACUCCUACGGGAGGCAGCAGUGGGGAAUAUUGGACAAUGGGCGAAAGCCUGAUCCAGCCAUGCCGCGUGUGUGUAGAAGGCCUUCGGGUUGUAAAGCACUUUUGUUGGGAAAGAAAAGCGGUCGGUUAAUACCCGGUCGUUCUGACGGUACCCAAAGAAUAAGCACCGGCUAACUUCGUGCCAGCCGCCGCCGUAA